rnacentral:rRNA from 1 species
GUAGGUGGCAAGCGUUGUCCGGAAUUAUUGGGCGUAAAGCGCGCGCAGGCGGUUCUUUAAGUCUGAUGUGAAAGCCCACGGCUCAACCGUGGAGGGUCAUUGGAAACUGGAGAACUUGAGUACAGAAGAGGGAAGCGGAAUUCCACGUGUAGCGGUGAAAUGCGUAGAGAUGUGGAGGAACACCAGUGGCGAAGGCGGCUUUCUGGUCUGUAACUGACGCUGAGGCGCGAAAGCGUGGGGAGCAAACAGGAUUAGAUACCCUGGUAGUCCACGCCGUAAACGAUGAGUGCUAAGUGUUAGGGGGUUUUCCGCCCCCCUUAGUGCUGCAGCUAACGCAUUAAGCACUCCGCCUGGGAGUACGGCCGCAAGGCUG